rnacentral:lncRNA from 1 species
GGCGAGGCAACCGGCCCCUGGCGGGCGAGACCGGUCCCCGAGCGCGUCUUCGCAGUGAGAGACCGGUCCUCCGCAGGGAGAGACCGGUUCCCGAACUUUAGUUUUUCGGGUUCGCAGCGAGAGACCGGUCCCUGCUGGGGAGAGACCGGUCCCUCUAGGCGAAAACUGCCCAGUCCGGGUUGAUGUAAAUUUGAGUUUUUGAGGGGCCUCUCUGGAUUUUGUUGCUCUAAAUGGUCUAUAAGGCCAUUUCACUCUCUUCCCUCCUCAUUUCUCACCCUCUCCCUUCACCUUCUAGAGAGAGAAGAAGGAGAAGGAGGAGAAGAAGAAGAGAAGCUUGCUUGAGGGAGCUUGGAGCUCAACCCCUUUCUCUCAUUUCCACCCUUGCUUGGCUUGGAGCUUGCUUGUAGAGCUUGGUGGUGGGCCAAUCUUCAACCCUAGAAGAUUUGGAGCUUGUUUGGAGGCAUCUUGGGAGGUUAGUAUUAUGAUUCUAACCUUUGAUCCUUGUUUUGGUAGGUUUUACCUUAUGAAACCCUAAAAUGUGAACUUAGGGUUUAUUUUGGGCGUUUUGAAUCUAGGGCUUUUGGAGCUAGAUUGAUUGGUUUAGAACCUUCCAUUUGGUUGGAUUGGAAGGGUUCUAGCUCUCUUUUGGAGCUUUGGAAGAGAUUUCUUCUCUUGAGGUGAGUUUUAGCCCUUUUUGCUUCUAGGUUAAUGUUUGAUCUUAUAGUUGAUCGUAAUGCCGGUGUAUCUCUUCGCUCAAUACUUUUAGGGUAUUUUGAGACUCGUGGACAACUUCUUUCGGCGAAACGAAGGACACUGCGACGGUUCGGUGGGUUUGACCUAGCCACACAAUGGGAAAAUCCCAUUGUUGCUGUUUUAAAUGUCAUAAAAUGAAAAAGCAUCCAUAUUCUUGUUAUAUGUAUUUAUUGUGAAUUUUUGAAUGCUUAAAAUGUCCAUGUUACAUAUAGAAAAAUUUUGGACCUCUAUGUAGUAGAGAGCACGCAUGUGUGAGAUAGCAUUCUGGUUGAGAUUGAAACUAAGAUCCCUGUUAUGAAAAUGAACCUUGCCUUCAUGCGUUUAGCUUAUAGGCCAAUUGUAACAUUAGAGAUUUUUGGAAGCCUAGAGAGGCUUAAGGACUUAGACUAUUUGAGAGAUUGGGCCAAUGUCAUAAAGAGGCAUUGGGCCUGGGCUAAAGUGAACCUUGCUAUUAUCGUCUAAAUUGGAAUAUGGUACAUGUAUUGGGCAUGAUUAGUUAUGAUGCUUAAGUGUCAUAAAGAGGCACUAAGCAAGUGAGUGUUGGGAUAUCACUUUGUGACAUAGAGCUAGACCGUUGGGUUACUAGUAGCUACUACCAUGUUUAAGAUAUGAGGAUUGGACACUUGAGACUUGGACUAUGCUUGCUUGCCAUUUGUGCUCAUUCGCACAUGCUUGUGAGGGUCGCUCCCUACAAGCCGGCACUCCGGAGUUAGCCUAUGCGACUUAUGUUCGCUCGUGCGGUAUUGAGAGGCCUACGAGGUCGAGUGGGAUAGACACAUUCCAAGAGUAGGGAUGUUGGGCUACCACAGGCACUUAGGCGGCACAAGCUGGACUACCUUUGGUAAGUCCUUAAUUGGAAAUCAAAAUCGACACGGUGUUGAGAAUGAAUAAUCACUACUAGAUAGGCUUAGUAGUUGGAUUACUUGACAUGCUCAUGACAUAGCUUUGGGGCAUAUAGUAUACUGGGUCGCUUUGAUAGAGCUUACUCCUUAUGCAUUGACAUAUUGCAUCGUGAGGUUUACUUGUUCAUUAUGUUAUGGCAUAUUAGUAUGCAUUGGACAUACCAUCUUGUGAUAGUGUAGAUGUACAUUACCAUGACAUCAGGCUUACUUGAGACAUAGUAGUAUAGCAUUUCAUUUAUGCUUUCUUUCAGCAGUUCUUAUACUCGCUCUUUAUUGUUUGUUAUUAUUGUUGUUACUUACCCNUGCUCUCCAUCUGGUGGAUAGCUUAGCAGGAGCUUCCUUCGAUCGAGCUUCGUUGAGGGAAGAGCGCCAGGGAUCGGAGAGGGCCGCACCUUCCGAGACUUUUGUAGUUCUUUUGCUCCCGCACUCUUGAUAUUAAAUAUCAAGGGUCACCCGUUAAUGACUGGAGUCGAGUUACGUGGUGAUCCGGGGUUUUCUUUUCCCAUUCAUUGUUGUUAUUAUUGUUUGUUAUUUCUCGCUCAUAUUCUUGACGACUUUCUUUCGUAUUUACUUUACGAUAUGAUGAUACAGAGUUCAUUCGGACUACAGUACCAUUACAUGUAGAUGUGAUAGUGUUCUACCAUACAGGUUACGUAUGAUUAUACGGUAUUGUAUUACUUGUUCAUUUGGAGUGCUACGUUAUACAGUUACGUAUUCCUCAUUCGAGAUAGUUUCGCUGGGUCAUAUGAUAUACGGGGUUUCGAUACAGUACUCGUACAGUUCAUUAGGUUGAUGAUUCGGAUAGAUCAUCACUAAUAAGUAAGAGUUGUGGCACAGCUAAAACUAAAGGUUAAUUCCUGAAUGGUUUCCAUCAGGUCGAACACGGCGGAUUCACGGACACCAUCGGGUUGUAGGGAUGAGAACCUUACACAGAUAGGGUGAGCUGGAGCAUCCGGAGAGUUAUGGCGUGCUCGCUUGUAUUCAGCGUAUCCGAUUGAGGCCUCACGGCCGAACAUCCCUCGCUGGGAGUGUUCGUACACGCUUACUCGUGUUUACCGUUCGUUCGUAUCAGGUUCAGAGUUCUAUUUUAUUUGAGAGAGGUCGAGAGUUGUACCCGCUCAUGUAUAGAGACCACCAUUUUUGUACUAGAGACAGUUAUUGUACUACUUUAUGUCUUAUCUUUACUGUUUUGGUUAUGUAUCCUUUACUCUGGUUAUAGAUGUUAGAACUUUAUCCGCUUUGAUAUCAUUAGUUGUCUUUUACUCGGAUUGUUCUAUCUCUUAUUUUAUUUCCGCUGUUGUUGUAGACGCCUUAUAUGUGUAGACAUAUGGCGAGUCUGGGCAAGCUACCGGGAGGGCCUCCGCCGGUCCCGAGGCUUGACAGAUUAAUUUGGUAUCAGAGCCUAGGGUUGAGUCUUAGAGGACCUAGCAAACCUUAGGCCGGUUGGACUAUAGGAGAUAGGCCCGUGAGAGACGAAGUCUAACUGAAUUGUUAGCGAAAGUAUUUCGAUUGGGUUUAUGAUAACUCUAAAAAGUUAGAGUUCGAUCAGAGUGUAUGGCUUCUAACUUCGCGGAGGGUUAUGUUGGCGGCCGACAACGUAACAUCGGGAGUUAGUUGUGGAUAACACUUCCUUACUUUCGCGUGAUUACGGUUUUGUUAUUUGAGCGGGGAUUCGAUAGCGCGGGUUACUAACUUGCGCUUUUAUGUUCUGUAGUGACGAUGCCGAUUACACGCUCCCAGUCUGCCGGGGCAGAUGAUGCGGCACACCCUGAGGAGGUCGAGACCUUCGCUACUUCCGGAUCUAGUGAGGUCCGUGACGUGAGGACCCAGCUUGCGGCCCUCACUGAUCUGUUGGCGCAGCAGACGGCAGCGGCGCAGCGACAGGCUGAGGUGGCUCAGCGGCAGGAUGCGCGGAUGAAGCAUCUUGAGGACCUCCUACUUCAGCAGGCAGCAGCUUCGAGGGAGACCCAGGGUCCCGCACCGCCAGCACCGGUGGUGGACGUCGCACCGAGAGCGCAGUCCCCCGCGCUCAGUUCUUCACGUGCGGCACCGGCGACUACACCGCGGGAGGAGGUGGCUGCGGUACCUCCAGUUUGGAGACCGAUCACGGAGGCAGCUUUCCCCGUGAGGGCCGAGGGAGCCGAGCGGGAUCGGCUCAUGGAUCGCCUCAGUGAGUUCAGGAGGUGCAGCCCGAGGACGUUCGAUGGCGAGAACGUCGACACUGGAUUGUUGAGAAGUGGUUGAUGCAUAUGGAGAAGCUAUUUCGAGAUACCUUUGUGGAGGAGAGGGACAGAGUGUGGCUUGCCACACACUUCUUGGACGGCGAGGCCUACCGUUUGUGGUUGGAUAUUCUAGACAACCCCAACACCGAUUUGGCAGCGAUCACUUGGGCGAGAUUCAAGGAGAUGCUUCUGGCGCACUACUUCCCUACCAGCGCCAAGAGGAAGAUGGAGCAGGACUUGCGCAGCUUGAGCCAGGACGAGCGGUCAGUGGCCGAGUACGAGAGGGAGUUCUCCCGGCUACUUCAUUGUGUACCGUUUGUUGUGAGGGAUGAUGAGGACAAGGCCCGCAUUUUUGAGCGUGGAUUGCGGCCUUCUAUCUUUCGGUUGGUACAGUCCUCCAACCUCCAGACCUACCGGGAGGUUGUGGAUCGAGCACUGAUAGUGGAGGCAAAAGCGGCGGAUCUUCAGGAGCGUCGUGAGAGCUCGGAGAAAGGGAGGGGAAAGAGGCCCGCGGCUGAGGGUGCGAGUCAGAUUGUAAGGUACCAGACUUCUAAAAAUAUGAAGUUAUGGUGUACAUUUAAAUGGUUCCGGUGAGGUUGCGGUGUAAUGUAAUAUACCGGAUUUAAAUAUAAAAAUAAAAAAUAAAUAAAAAUAGUAUGAGAUACUGUUUUUAUUGGAUUUAGAGAAGUGAAAUAUAGGUUGGGAAUGACCUGUGCUAAAAUUGGAGCGAAAACAGAAGAUUUAGAAUUUUCUGUGAGAAACGGGACAGAUAAAUUAGCAGAAAAUGCACAGUCUCAGAAAAUUAUGAAAAUUGGAGGAUAAGUCAGAAAUAUUUUUAUGAGGCUAGGUUUAAAGUUUCAUAUUUUUCUAACACCCGUAGAGUGAGAAAUAAAAUCCGAUAGCUAUCUGAUAAAGAUUACAGUUCGGUGCAGCUUUCAGUGACCAAACGAGGUCGAAAUUGAAAACUUAAGAUAUAUUCUUACUCAGUACGUUGAACUGAGCCUGCCUGUCAAAUUUGAGCUCAAACGGACAUUCAGAAGGGCUCCAACUGCUCCGAACUGCUAAACUGAUAUAGUGGUGCAAGUGGUAGUAAAUGUGAGGGGGUUUCCUGCAAUUGUGGCAGCCCCAUAUGUGGUGCGGCUGCUUGGCCGAAGCAUCACACGCACACACACCUUCUCUUCUCCUUCUCUCCCUCACACUUGCAACCAUGGAGAGCUCUCUCUCUCUCUAGGAAUAAGAAGCCAAGAGAGAGGUUUGGUGAAGCUUGGAAGUGAAUCUUCAUCAUCUUCUUCCUCUUCUUCAAGCUUGGAGGAAUCUUGUGAGGUAAAGCACUAACCCUUUAAUGGUAGAAUGUUAGGGCUUCAAUUAUACGCUCUAGAAAUGGUUUUAGGCAAACCUUAGGAGGUUACUAGGAUGAUUCUAACAUGAAUCUAUGGUUCUAUUAGUGUGCUUUGCACUAAUUGCAACAUAGAGCUCCAAAAUAAGGGCUUUAAUGGUAGAUCUCUAAAGAUAGGUCCAAAUGCUUUGGAAAUGGUUUUAGUGGAACCCAUUGAUGCCUAAUAGAUGAUUAUUGCAUGAAUCUAAAGUUGUAGUAGAGUAUUCUUGCAAUAGUUGAAACCUAGGACUCAAAAUGGGAUUUUUAUAAAUUGUUGGGUUUGAUCUCUUUUAACCCGCUAUUUAC